rnacentral:lncRNA from 1 species
AGGAGAAUCAAUUCGAAAUCAAAAUGGGAGUUUUCACCUUCGUUUGCAGGUGCUCCGGUAACGAGUGGAGUGCCAAGCAGAUCGCCGAAGGCGAUAUUGAGGCCUCCGCUUCCUCCACCUUCGAGUUGCAAAGGAAACUUGUCCAAUCUGCUCUCUCCGCUGAUUCCUCCGGUGGCGUCCAGUCCUCUUUCUCUUACGUCACUCCUUCAUCCGCCGUUUUCCAGGUCCUCACAUUUUCUCUCUUUAUCUUUUUGUUUAUUUUCUUGCUUUAAACAACAAUUAUCUGAUUUAGUAUCUCAUCAUGAAGUAUAUCUUUUGUCCGUUUUGUUAAUAAAUCCUUUGCAAUUUGUCAAAUAGUUUAGGGUUUUGAACCAUCAUCUCAUAAUCAUAAAUGCAUGUAUGUGUGUUGGCUUGCACUGCAGUGAGAAACUUAUUCAUGUGAUCUUUUUCAAGUUAUUUUUAUUUACUUGAACAAUUGUUUCUAAUUUGGAAUAUAAUUUAGUCAUCUAAAUUAGAAUUUAUAGGCAAGAACAGUUGUCAUAUAAGAGUGCAAAAUAUAUGUGGAUGUGACAUUCGAUGUUAGUUUUAGUUGUCUAAUGAGGUGGGUAAAUUUUGUUUGGUGCAGGUGAUCAUUGGUGGCGGCUGUGGUGGAGCCUUCUUUGGCGGUGGUGGUGGAGGUGCAGCAGCGGCUCCAGCAGGAGGUGCAGCAGCUGCAGCUGAGGCACCUGCUGCUGAGGAGAAGAAGAAGGAAGAGGAGCCAGAGAGUGAUGAUGAUAUGGGAUUCUCUCUUUUUGAUU